AGCCAGCAGGGAGGAAGCAUUCCUCUUCUGAACCUCCCAGAAGGCAGCCACGUGGCACCACCUGCACUGCCUGCAGCUUCUGUUGCACCUGGGGCAGAGCUACGCUUGGCUGCUGACACCUAUGAGAAGGCAGGCAUGGUGGACCUUCCGCAAAGCUGAAGGCCUGAAUAGAACAAAAAGGCUCACCGUCCCAUGAAUAGAGAGAACUCCUCCUGCCUGACUGCUGUGAGCUGGGACAUCCAUUGUUUUCUGUUUUUUGGAUUUGAACUGAAACAUCAGCUCUUCCUUGAUCCUGAACCUGCUGGCUUUCUGACCGGAACUUGCACCAACAGCUCUCCUAGUUCUCAGGCCUUUGGACUUGGACUGGAAUUACACCAUCAAAUCUCCUGGGUCUCCAGCUUGCCAUCUGCAGAUCUUGGAACUUCUUAACCUCCACAUCCUGGAGUUGAGUCAAAUAAGGUAACACGAAAAACCUGAAAAAAUGGUUUUGGGUCCUUGAUUCUUUCUGUCUGUUGCUCCCGUGCAUCUCUCCACCAGUUGGGAGAAAGAUCAGCGUUAUCUCUGAAUGUAUGGGAGAGCCAGGGGAAGGUCUUCAAGGGCUGGGACAAGCAAGUAUCCUGCAGGGCCCACUCCUG
rnacentral:lncRNA from 1 species